rnacentral:rRNA from 1 species
GACGAACGCUGGCGGCGUGCUUAACACAUGCAAGUCGAACGCUGAAGACCUGGCUUUUGUUGGGUUGGAUGAGUGGCGAACGGGUGAGUAACACGUGAGUAACCUGCCCUCUUCUUUGGGAUAACGCCCGGAAACGGGUUCUAAUACUGGAUAUUCACUGCUCCUCGCAUGGGGGGUGGUGGAUAGGUUUGUUCUGGUUGGGGGUGGGCUCGCGGCCUAUCAGCUGGUUGGUGGGGUGAUGGCCUACCAAGGCUUUGACGGGUAGCCGGCGGGGGAGGGUGACAGGGGAAAUUGGAAACGGGAUAGGGACCAGAGUGCGACGGGAGGCAGCAGUGGGGGAUAUUGCACACUGGGCGAAUGCAGGAUGACGCGGCGGGGCGUGAGGGAUGGAGGCCUUCGGGGUGUAAACCUCUUUAGAGAAUGGUAGAGCCGCAACAGUGGGUUGUGGUGAGGGUAGUGGGUAAAGAAGCGCCGGCUAACUACGUG